rnacentral:rRNA from 1 species
UACAGAGGUCCCAAGCGUUGUUCGGAUUCACUGGGCGUAAAGGGUGCGUAGGUGGUGAGGUAAGUCGGAUGUGAAAGCUCGGAGCUCAACUCCGAAAUGGCAUUGGAAACUACCUUGCUCGAGGGUUGGAGGGGGGACUGGAAUACUUGGUGUAGCAGUGAAAUGCGUAGAUAUCGGGAGGAACACCAGUGGCGAAGGCGACUUCCUGGCCUGUUCUUGACGCUGAGGCGCGAAAGCUAGGGGAGCAAACGGG